GAUGAACGCUGGCGGCGUGCUUAACACAUGCAAGUCGAACGAAGCACUUUAUUUGAUUUCCUUCGGGACUGAUUAUUUUGUGACUGAGUGGCGGACGGGUGAGUAACGCGUGGGUAACCUGCCUUGUACAGGGGGAUAACAGUUGGAAACGGCUGCUAAUACCGCAUAAGCGCACAGCAUCGCAUGAUGCAGUGUGAAAAACUCCGGUGGUAUAAGAUGGACCCGCGUUGGAUUAGCUAGUUGGGGAGGUAACGGCCCACCAAGGCGACGAUCCAUAGCCGACCUGGGAGGGUGACCGGCCACAUUGGGACUGAGACACGGCCCAAAAUCCUGCGGGAGGCAGCAGUGAAAAAUAUUGCAGAAAGGGAGAAAGCCUGAUGCAACGACGCCGCGUGCGCGAAGAAGUAUAUCUGUAUGUAAAGCACUAUCAGCAAGGAAGAUAAUGACGAUACCUGACUAAGAAGCACCGGCUAAAUACGUG
rnacentral:rRNA from 1 species